UACAGAGGGUGCAAGCGUUGUUCGGAAUUAUUGGGCGUAAAGCGCACGUAGGCGGCUUGUUAAGUCAGGGGUGAAAUCCUGGAGCUCAACUCCAGAACUGCCUUUGAUACUGGCGAGCUUGAGUCCGGGAGAGGUGAGUGGAACUGCGAGUGUAGAGGUGAAAUUCGUAGAUAUUCGCAAGAACACCAGUGGCGAAGGCGGCUCACUGCCCGGUACUAACGCUGAGGUGCGAAAGCGUGGGGAGCAAACAGG
rnacentral:rRNA from 1 species